rnacentral:rRNA from 1 species
UCGGAGAGGGAGCCUGAGAAACGGCUGCCAUGUCUAAGGACAGCAGCAGGCGCGCAAAUUGCCCAAUACUAGCAUGAGCGAGGCAGCGACGAGAAGUAUUUACCUUGUGCUACAUUGUAUCACGAGGAUAGAAAUGGGUGAUAUCCAAAACCAUCACUGAGGAUCGAUUGGAGGGCAAGUCUGGUGCCAGCAGCCGCGGUAAUUCCAGCUCCAAUAGCGUAUACUAAUGCUGUUGCUGUUAAACAGCUCGUAGUUCGAUAAGGAUCGAUUCUGGUUCAGAUACAGUGCUUCGCAGCUUUGCUGCAAGUACUCGUUGAGAUCCGCUUGGAAUUGGUUCUGCAAUGAGUAACUCGUACGGUGGAAGAGCUCUUCAUUGAGCUUGGAAACGCUUUCGCAGCCAACAUCUGCACAAGUACAGUCGUUCGUGAUACCGUGAACAAAACAGCGUGCUCAAAGCAAGUGAUUCUGCUCGAAUGUUCAAGCAUGGAAUAUCAAGGAAUCGACCAUGAGUAUAAUCUUUGCUGGUUUCUGUAUGCGUCUUGGAGAAUUGGACCUGAGAAUAUCGUGCCGUAGUCAGUUCCUCCGGGUUCUGCUAUGGUACUAAGCUCUAGUUUGCCGGUAUUAACAGGGAUGAACGGAGCAGUGUGUAUUGGCUCGCGAGAGGUGAAAUUCUUAGACCGUGCCAAGACAAACGUAAGCGAAGGCAUUCUGCAAGUAUAUCUUCACUAAUCAAGAACGAGAGUGCAGGGAUCGAAGAUGAUCAGAUACCGUCGUAGUCUGCUACUGUAAACGAUGCGAACUCGGGAUCAGCCGUCGCCAAUCUUUUCGAUUACCAGGCUGGAACCUACUUACUUCUCCUAGCGCGAAAGCUUUAAGUUUAUGCGUUCAGGGGGGAGUACAGUUGCAAGGCUGAAACUUAAAGGAAUUGACGGAAUGACACCACAAGGCGUGGAUGCUGCGGCUUAAUUUGACUCAACACGGGGAAUCUCACCAGGUCAGGACGCAUGUUGGAUUGACAGAUUGAAAGCUCUUUCUUGAUUAUGUGUAUGGUGGUGCAUGGCCGCUCCUGGUUGGUGGAGUGAUUUGUCUGGUUGAUUCCGUUAACGAACGAGAUCUUGGCCCUUCAAUGACAGUUUGAUCGAUUGUAAUUCAGUCAACGUGCUUGCAUGCUUGUACUGGAUGAGAUCUUGUCUUGUACUCAAGGGGACGAUGCAUGUUUACAAUGCAUGGAAGUGCGAGCCAAUAGCAGGUCUGUGAUGCUCCUAGAUGUCCUGGGCUGCACGCGGCAUACAAUGGUGAAGAAAACGAGUUUGGUUUGUUUGAGCUCCUUGUGCGAAAUCAUUGGGGAAUCUGUGGAAACUUCAUCGUAUUGGGGAUCGUUGCUUGCAAUUAUUUGCCUUGAACCAGGAAUGCCUUGUAGACACAACUCAGCAAAUUGUAUCGAAUACGUCCCUGCCGUUUGUACACACCGCCCGUCGUUGCAAUCGAUCGGUUCAAUGCUAGAGGUCUUCCAGAGGUGAGUUCGAUCCUGUAUUGUCUUUGCCAAAGUUGAUCAAUAGCAUUGAACUAGAGGAUGCAAAAGUCGUAACAAGGUAGCCGUA